CCUACGGGUGGCAGCAGUGGGGAAUAUUGCACAAUGGGCGGAAGCCUGAUGCAGCGACGCCGCGUGAGCGAUGAAGCCCCUCGGGUCGUAAAGCUCUGUCCUCAAGGAAGAUAAUGACGGUACUUGAGGAAGAAGCCCCGGCUAACUACGUGCCAGCAGCCGCGGUAAUACGUAGGGGGCGAGCGUUAUCCGGAAUUACUGGGCGUAAAGGGGGCGCAGGUGGUUUGUUAAGUCAGAGGUGAAAGGCUAGGGCUCAACCGGAGGAAGCCUUUGAAACUGGGGUGCUGGAGUGCAGGAGGGGAAGGUGGAAUUCCUAGUGUAGCGGUGAAAUGCGUAGAUAUUAGGAGGAACACCAGUGGCGAAGGCGGUCUGCUGGACUGCAACUGACGCUGAGGCGCGAAAGCGUGGGGAGCAAACAGGAUUAGAUACCCGAGUAGUC
rnacentral:rRNA from 1 species